GAUGAACGCUGGCGGCGUGCCUAAUACAUGCAAGUCGAGCGAACGGACGAGAAGCUUGCUUUUCUGAUGUUAGCGGCGGACGGGUGAGUAACACGUGGAUAACCUACCUAUAAGACUGGGAUAACUUCGGGAAACCGGAGCUAAUACCGGAUAAUAUUUUGAACCGCAUGGUUCAAAAGUGAAAGACGGUCUUGCUGUCACUUAUAGAUGGAUCCGCGCUGCAUUAGCUAGUUGGUAAGGUAACGGCUUACCAAGGCAACGAUGCAUAGCCGACCUGAGAGGGUGAUCGGCCACACUGGAACUGAGACACGGUCCAGACUCCUACGGGAGGCAGCAGUAGGGAAUCUUCCGCAAUGGGCGAAAGCCUGACGGAGCAACGCCGCGUGAGUGAUGAAGGUCUUCGGAUCGUAAAACUCUGUUAUUAGGGAAGAACAUAUGUGUAAGUAACUGUGCACAUCUUGACGGUACCUAAUCAGAAAGCCACGGCUAACUACGUGCCAGCAGCCGCGGUAAUACGUAGGUGGCAAGCGUUAUCCGGAAUUAUUGGGCGUAAAGCGCGCGUAGCGGUUUUUUAAGUCUGAUGUGAAAGCCCACGGCUCAACCGUGGAGGGUCAUUGGAAACUGGAAAACUUGAGUGCAGAAGAGGAAAGUGGAAUUCCAUGUGUAGCGGUGAAAUGCGCAGAGAUGUGGAGGAACACCAGUGGCGAAGGCGACUUUCUGGUCUGUAACUGACGCUGAUGUGCGAAAGCGUGGGGAUCAAACAGGAUUAGAUACCCUGGUAGUCCACGCCGUAAACGAUGAGUGCUAAGUGUUAGGGGGUUUCCGCCCCUUAGUGCUGCAGCUAACGCAUUAAGCACUCCGCCUGGGGAGUACGACCGCAAGGUUGAAACUCAAAGGAAUUGACGGGGGCCCGCACAAGCGGUGGAGCAUGUGGUUUAAUUCGAAGCAACGCGAAGAACCUUACCAAAUCUUGACAUCCUUUGACAACUCUAGAGAUAGAGCCUUCCCCUUCGGGGGACAAAGUGACAGGUGGUGCAUGGUUGUCGUCAGCUCGUGUCGUGAGAUGUUGGGUUAAGUCCCGCAACGAGCGCAACCCUUAAGCUUAGUUGCCAUCAUUAAGUUGGGCACUCUAAGUUGACUGCCGGUGACAAACCGGAGGAAGGUGGGGGUGACGUCAAAUCAUCAUGCCCCUUAUGAUUUGGGCUACACACGUGCUACAAUGGACAAUACAAAGGGCAGCGAAACCGCGAGGUCAAGCAAAUCCCAUAAAGUUGUUCUCAGUUCGGAUUGUAGUCUGCAACUCGACUACAUGAAGCUGGAAUCGCUAGUAAUCGUAGAUCAGCAUGCUACGGUGAAUACGUUCCCGGGUCU
rnacentral:rRNA from 1 species